rnacentral:rRNA from 1 species
CAGCAGCCACGGUAAUACGGAGGGCGCGAGCGUUACCCGGAUUUACUGGGCGUAAAGGGCGUGUAGGCGGCCUGGGGCGUCCCACGUGAAAGGCCACGGCUCAACCGUGGAGGAGCGUGGGAUACGCUCAGGCUAGAGGGUGGGAGAGGGUGGUGGAAUUCCCGGAGUAGCGGUGAAAUGCGCAGAUACCGGGAGGAACGCCGAUGGCGAAGGCAGCCACCUGGUCCACUUCUGACGCUGAGGCGCGAAAGCGUGGGGAGCAAACCGGAUUAGAUACCCCCGUAGUCCCUGUCUCUUAUAC